rnacentral:rRNA from 2 species
AACGAACGCUGGCGGCAGGCUUAACACAUGCAAGUCGAGCGCCCCGCAAGGGGAGCGGCAGACGGGUGAGUAACGCGUGGGAACGUACCCUUUGCUACGGAAUAGCUCCGGGAAACUGGAAUUAAUACCGUAUGAGCCUUCGGGGGAAAGAUUUAUCGGCAAAGGAUCGGCCCGCGUUGGAUUAGCUAGUUGGUGGGGUAAAGGCCUACCAAGGCGACGAUCCAUAGCUGGUCUGAGAGGAUGAUCAGCCACAUUGGGACUGAGACACGGCCCAAACUCCUACGGGAGGCAGCAGUGGGGAAUAUUGGACAAUGGGCGCAAGCCUGAUCCAGCCAUGCCGCGUGAGUGAUGAAGGCCCUAGGGUUGUAAAGCUCUUUCACCGGUGAAGAUAAUGACGGUAACCGGAGAAGAAGCCCCGGCUAACUUCGUG